rnacentral:rRNA from 1 species
CAGACGAGGAGCUUGCUCCUUUGACGUUAGCGGCGGACGGGUGAGUAACACGUGGGUAACCUACCUAUAAGACUGGGAUAACUUCGGGAAACCGGAGCUAAUACCGGAUAAUAUUUCGAACCGCAUGGUUCGAUAGUGAAAGAUGGCUCUGCUAUCACUUAUAGAUGGACCUGCGCCGUAUUAGCUAGUUGGUAAGGUAACGGCUUACCAAGGCAACGAUACGUAGCCGACCUGAGAGGGUGAUCGGCCACACUGGAACUGAGACACGGUCCAGACUCCUACGGGAGGCAGCAGUAGGGAAUCUUCCGCAAUGGGCGAAAGCCUGACGGAGCAACGCCGCGUGAGUGAUGAAGGUCUUCGGAUCGUAAAACUCUGUUAUUAGGGAAGAACAAACGUGUAAGUAACUGUGCACGUCUUGACGGUACCUAAUCAGAAAGCCACGGCUAACUACGUGCCAGCAGCCGCGGUAAUACGUAGGUGGCAAGCGUUAUCCGGAAUUAUUGGGCGUAAAGCGCGCGUAGGCGGUUUUUUAAGUCUGAUGUGAAAGCCCACGGCUCAACCGUGGAGGGUCAUUGGAAACUGGAAAACUUGAGUGCAGAAGAGGAAAGUGGAAUUCCAUGUGUAGCGGUGAAAUGCGCAGAGAUAUGGAGGAACACCAGUGGCGAAGGCGACUUUCUGGUCUG